GAUGAACGCUAGCGACAGGCUUAACACAUGCAAGUCGAGGGGCAUCACGGGAGUAGCAAUACAACUGGUGGCGACCGGCGCACGGGUGAGUAACGCGUAUGCAACCUACCUAUCAGAGGGGAAUAACCCGGCGAAAGUCGGACUAAUACCGCAUAAAACAGGGGCACCGCAUGGUGAUAUUUGUUAAAGAAAUUCGCUGAUAGAUGGGCAUGCGUUCCAUUAGGUAGUUGGUGAGGUAACGGCUCACCAAGCCGACGAUGGAUAGGGGAACUGAGAGGUUGGUCCCCCACACUGGUACUGAGACACGGACCAGACUCCUACGGGAGGCAGCAGUGAGGAAUAUUGGUCAAUGGGCGGGAGCCUGAACCAGCCAAGUCGCGUGAAGGAAGAAGGAUCUAUGGUUCGUAAACUUCUUUUGCAGGGGAAUAAAGUGCAGGACGUGUCCUGUUUUGUAUGUACCCUGGGAAUAAGGAUCGGCCAACUCCGUGCCAGCAGCCGCCGUAAGAC
rnacentral:rRNA from 1 species